CAAUAGCGUAUAUUAAAGUUGUUGCAGUUAAAAAGCUCGUCGUUGGAUUUCUGAAGGCAAUUGUUUGGUCUCCCUGAUUGGGUGUACCUACCGUUGUUUUCAUCCUUCUGUUAACGGUUGUUGGCAUUCAUUUAUCGCUUCCAAACUCAGAUACUUUACCUUGAGCAAAUUAGAGUGUUUCAGGCAGGCUUGCGCCCGAAUACAUUAGCAUGGAAUAAUAGAAUAGGACUACGUCUCAUUUUGUUGGUUUUAUGAACGUAGUAAUGAUUAAUAGGGAUAGUUGGGGGCAUUAGUAUUUAACUGUCAGAGGUGAAAUUCUUUGAUUUGUUAAAGACUAACUUAUGCGAAAGCAUUUGCCAAGAAUGUUUUCAUUAA
rnacentral:rRNA from 1 species